GACCAGUAGCUUUGGUUUGACCAGCUCUGAUUGAUAACUUGAUAAAUUGGAGGUGUUUUUGUAAUUGGAAGAUUGUGUUUGGGGAGUACCCAUUUCGGUUUUGUAAGUAAAGGUGUAAGCUUUAUUGUCUGUUUUUUGGAGAAGCAUAGGUGUUGCAGAGGUGUUUGCUUGUACUUGCUUUGAUUGCCACUUGUAUGGUGAUUGGUGAUGGUGUUCUCAGACCAGCUAUUUCUGGUAAUUUUUGGGUUAUGGAUGGUAAAGUUGGAAAAAGUUUCUAUUUAGGACUAACUGGGAUUUUGCUUUAAAUUGGUGCAAUGUUUUCUGCUGUUUCUGGACUUGAGUUUUCUAUGUCCGAAAAGUAUCAAAAAUGUGAGUUCUUAAAUUUUGCUCCUUUCUGGUAUUUAUUGGGCGUUUGUAUUCUGCUCAGUAGUUUGAAAUUUGGGUGAUUCCGUUUUUUAUUAAAUUAUUCUCAAUCUGAUCCUUUUCCUUUGAAUUGCUGGAUAUCAAUGUAUGAUAGUUUAUGUCAAUUUGUGUACUCAGAUUUGUAAGUCUUCAAUAUUUUUCUGCUUUAAGAAUCAAAGCCAUACAACAGGUGGACUGCUGACUUUUAUUGAUGUUGGGAAUAGCUUUGGUGCUCUAGCAAUUGUUGAAGAUAAUUUGUUACAUCAGUUCCAUAGCCUUGCCUUUCUAUCAUAAGCUGAAAUCAAUUAAGGUGUGCCCCUUCCUCUUCUUCUUCCUCCUCCUCGGGGAACUUGGACGGCGUUUACAUGACCGACACUUGUGUUCAGUGAGCGGUAAAGGAUCGGAAAGGGUUUACCCAACAACAACUUGACGAGGUCCGCAUUGAAGUAGCCGACUACUUACAAACUCUGCUGUAGGUUCUGACCAGUUUCUUGAUUUUGAGUUAGGCUAGCUUUUAAUUAAUUUUUUUGUAGCAAUUAUGAACAAACAAGAAUACUAAUUGCUAGGCUAGCCUUGUAGUAUAUAGGUGCAUGAAUUGGGGUUUUAUUUUGCCCAUUUUGUAAACUGUUAAGGAUGAUGAAUAUCAGAUAUAAUACCCCAAUUUGCAAUUUAUAAUCA